rnacentral:rRNA from 1 species
CAGUAGCCACGGGAAUACAGAGGGUGCAAGCGUUAAUCGGAAUUACUGGGCGUAAAGCGCGCGUAGGUGGUUUGUUAAGUUGGAUGUGAAAGCCCCGGGUUCAACCUGGGAACUGCAUCCAAAACUGGCAAGCUAGAGUACGGUAGAGGGUGGUGGAAUUUCCUGUGUAGCGGUGAAAUGCGUAGAUAUAGGAAGGAACACCAGUGGCGAAGGCGACCACCUGGACUGAUACUGACACUGAGGUGCGAAAGCGUGGGGAGCAAACAGGAUUAGAUACCCCUGUAGUCCCUGUCUCUUAUAC